AAUCCUGGCUCAGGAUGAACGCUGGCGGCGUGCCUAAUACAUGCAAGUCGAACGAGGUGCCUUUGUAGCAAUACGAGGGUAUCCUAGUGGCGAACGGGUGAGUAACGCGUUGGUGACCUGCCCCAAAGUGUGGGAUACCAGUUCGAAAGGACUGCUAAUACCGCAUGUGGUUAUCGGGCUUAGAAACCGAUAUCGAAAGCAGCAAUGCGCUUUGGGAGGGACCUGCGUCCCAUCAGCUAGUUGGUAGGGUAACGGCCUACCAAGGCGACGACGGGUAGGGGACCUGAGAGGGUGGCCCCCCACAAUGGAACUGAAAUACGGUCCAUACACCUACGGGUGGCAGCAGUAGGGAAUAUUGCACAAUGGGCGAAAGCCUGAUGCAGCAACGCCGCGUGCACGAUGAAGGCUUCGGGUCGUAAAGUGUUUUUCUGGGAGAUGAGAAAGGACAGUAUCCCGAAUAACGGCUAAUACGU
rnacentral:rRNA from 1 species